rnacentral:lncRNA from 10 species
CAGGAAGAGAGGCCCAACUGAGUCUCCACUCACAAUGACCCCUGGCUGCACAGCCUGCCCUGGUCCACUUCACCUUGGCUCAGCACAAGGUCAUUUCAUCUCUGAGGCCACACUACUCAGGCAAAGCUAGUCCUGCCAUCCUCUCUGUUGUGGGAGUGCUUUCCUCAUUCACAGCUGCGGCACUCACCAUCUGUCAUGGGGUAUUUCUUCCUCCAUUUGGUAUUCCUUGAGUUCAUAAGUAUUGGACCCUGAGGAUACAAAGAUGAAUAAAACAAGGUUCCUGUCUGCAAAGAGCCUAUCAUCUAGCAAAAUGCAAUGCCUGAAUAUGAUUCUUCCAAAACAAGAGGCCCUAGUCUGUGACUGUCAGCCUUGCCAUCAACACUCCUCUUUGGUGGAGAGCUCCCUGUUGGCCCUGAGGCAGGAGUCUUCUGAGAUCUUGACAUAUGCUGGGCUUGAUCCAGGCCUCAGUACAGGUGAGGAAACGGAGGCCUGUAGAAGUGAAGUGACUUGCUAAGGGGCAGGGCUGAGGUCUGAGGCCUGGUCUGAGUCCAAAACCCGGGCAGGCUCUGAGAGCUCCACCCUGCUGCCAUCUUACGUCCAGGCAGGGCCUGCAAGGGACAGCAAUGAUGCAAAGACAAACAAAGGAAGAGCAACCCCAGCCCUGCCACAGAACCAGCUGUGACCACGGACAAAAGGAGUUAUUCGACCUCUCCAGCCUCAGUUCUUCACUUGUAUAUGAAACCAACAAGAGUAAAUAUAGAAUGGAGUUGAAACGCC